UUCUCUAUAAAUAAACGUACUACUACCGUACCAGCCCAGCAGCAAAUAGUAGCAUCAUUAGUUAGCGACAUGGGCGACGAGGAGGCGUGCAUGUUCGCGCUGCAGCUAGCCAACUCGACGGUGCUACCGAUGACGCUGCGGACGGCCAUCGAGCUGGGCCUUCUGGAGGCCCUUGUGGGCGCCGCCGGCAAGUCGCUGACUCCGGAGGAGGUCCUCGCGGAGCUGCCGUGCAAGGCCAACAACCCGGACGCGCCGUCCAUGGUGGAUCGCAUGCUGCGUGUGCUUGCGUCGUACAAGGUGGUGUCGUGCGCGGUGGAGGAGGGCGAGGACGGCAGCCUCUCGCGCCGCUACGCCGCGGAACCGGUGUGCAGGUGGCUCGCCCCAAACGAGGAUGGCGUCUCCAUGGCCCCCUUCGCUCUCCUCGCCCAGGACCACGUCUACCUGGAGCCCUGGCGCCACCUCAAGGACGCGGUCCUCGACGGCGACGGCGGCGGCGGCACUGCGUUCCACAGGGCGUAUGGGACGUCGUGGUACGAGUACACCGGGAGGGACGCGCGCUUCAAAGGCCUCUUCUACGAGGCCAUGAAGCACCACUCCGCCAUCAUCACCAAGAAGCUCCUCGAGGUGUACAGGGGCUUCGACGGCAUCGGCACCCUCGUCGACGUGGCCGGCGGAUUCGGCGCCGUCAGCCACGCCAUCACCUCCAUGUACCCGAGCAUCAAGGGGAUCAACUUCGACCUUCCCCACGUCAUCGCCGCCGCCCCUCCUUACCAUAGGGUCGAGCACGUGGGCGGCAACAUGUUGGAGAAGGUACCCUCCGGCGACGCCAUCCUCAUGAUGUGGAUCCUCGACUGCUUCAGCGACCACGAGUGCGCCACGGUGCUCAAGAACUGCCACGACGCGCUGCCAGCGCACGGCAAGGUCAUCAGCGUGGAAUGCAUCUUGCCGGUGAACCCAGAGGCGACCAACAGCGCGCAGGCUUUGCUCGCCGUCGAUAUGAGCCUGGUCGCGUACAGCCCGGGCGGCAAGGAGAGGUAUCUCAGGGACUUCGAGAAGCUCGGCAAGGCCGCUGGAUUUGCCGCCGUCAAGGCCACCUACGUCUGCGCCGACUUCUGGGCCAUCCAAUACACAAAGUAA
rnacentral:rRNA from 1 species